rnacentral:rRNA from 1 species
GAUUAACGCUGGCGGCGUGCAUAACACAUGCAAGUCGAACGAUGAAACUUUAAUGAACCCUUCGGGGAGAAUUAAAGCGGAUUAGUGGCGAACGGGUGAGUAACGCGUGAGUAACCUGCCUUACACAAGGGGAUAGCCUUUGGAAACGAAGAAUAAUACCCUAUAAAACCAUAAAAGCACAUGCAAUUAUGGUCAAAGUGAUAGCGGUGUAAGAUGGACUUGCGUCUGAUUAGCUAGUUGGUGAGAUAAAAGCCCACCAAGGCAACGAUCAGUAGCCGGCUUGAGAGAGUGGACGGCCACAUUGGGACUGAGACACGGCCCAGACUCCGACGGGAGGCAGCAGUGGGGAAUUUUGCACAAUGGGGGAAACCCUGAUGCAGCGACGCCGCGUGAUUUAGAAGGCCUUCGGGUUGUAAAAAUCGUUUGUAUAGGAAGAAAAUGACAGUACUAUACGAAUAAGGUCCGGCUAAUUACGUG